GCGUAAGAGCUCGUAGGUGGUUCGUCACGUCGGAUGUGAAACUCUGGGGCUUAACCCCAGACCUGCAUUCGAUACGGGCGAGCUUGAGUAUGGUAGGGGAGUCUGGAAUUCCUGGUGUAGCGGUGGAAUGCGCAGAUAUCAGGAGGAACACCAAUGGCGAAGGCAGGACUCUGGGCCAUUACUGACACUGAGGAGCGAAAGCGUGGGGAGCGAACAGGAUUAGAUACCCUGGUAGUCCACGCCGUAAACGGUGGGCACUAGUUGUGGGGACCUUCCACGGUCUCUGCGACGCAGCUAACGCAUUAAGUGCCCCGCCUGGGGAGUACGAUCGCAAGAUUAAAACUCAAAGGAAUUGACGGGGCCCCGCACAAGCAGCGGAGCAUGCGGCUUAAUUCGACGCAACGCGAAGAACCUUACCAAGGCUUGACAUAUACAGGAAUAUGGCAGAGAUGUCAUAGCCGCAAGGUCUGUAUACAGGUGGUGCAUGGUUGUCGUCAGCUCGUGUCGUGAGAUGUUGGGUUAAGUCCCGCAACGAGCGCAACCCUCGUUCUGUGUUGCCAGCAUUUAGUUGGGGACUCACAGGAGACUGCCGGGGUUAACUCGGAGGAAGGUGGGGAUGACGUCAAAUCAUCAUGCCCCUUAUGUCUUGGGCUGCACGCAUGCUACAAUGGCUGGUACAAACGGCUGCAAUACCGCAA
rnacentral:rRNA from 1 species